GAUGAACGCUGGCGGCGUGCCUAAUACAUGCAAGUCGAGCGAACAGACGAGGAGCUUGCUCCUCUGACGUUAGCGGCGGACGGGUGAGUAACACGUGGAUAACCUACCUAUAAGACUGGGAUAACUUCGGGAAACCGGAGCUAAUACCGGAUAAUAUAUUGAACCGCAUGGUUCAAUAGUGAAAGACGGUUUUGCUGUCACUUAUAGAUGGAUCCGCGCCGCAUUAGCUAGUUGGUAAGGUAACGGCUUACCAAGGCAACGAUGCGUAGCCGACCUGAGAGGGUGAUCGGCCACAAUGGAACUGAGACACGGUCCAGACUCCUACGGGAGGCAGCAGUAGGGAAUCUUCCGCAAUGGGCGAAAGCCUGACGGAGCAACGCCGCGUGAGUGAUGAAGGUCUUCGGAUCGUAAAACUCUGUUAUUAGGGAAGAACAAAUGUGUAAGUAACUAUGCACGUCUUGACGGUACCUAAUCAGAAAGCCACGGCUAACUACGUG
rnacentral:rRNA from 1 species